rnacentral:rRNA from 1 species
CUACGGAGGGUGCAAGCGUUACUCGGAAUCACUGGGCGUAAAGCGCGCGCAGGCGGCUUGAUAAGUUGGAUGUGAAAGCCUACGGCUCAACCGUAGAACUGCAUCCAAAACUGUCAGGCUAGAGUGUGGGAGAGGAAGAUGGAAUUAGUUGUGUAGGGGUAAAAUCCGUAGAGAUAACUAGGAAUACCAAAAGCGAAGGCAAUCUUCUGGAACACUACUGACGCUGAGGCGCGAAGGCGUGGGGAGCAAACAGGAUUAGAAACCCUAGUAGUCC